UUGAUCCUGGCUCAGGAUGAACGCUGGCGGCGUGCCUUAAUACAUGCAAGGUCGAGCGGGAGAAUCAUCCUUCGGGAUGAGGAUCCAGCGGCGAACGGGUGAGUAACACGUGGGCAACCUGCCCGCAAGACCGGGAUAACUCCGGGAAACCGGGGCUAAUACCGGAUAGUCCUUUUCCCCGCAUGGGGAAAAGGGGAAAGGCGGCUUCGGCUGUCACUUGCGGAUGGGCCCGCGGCGCAUUAGCUGGUUGGUGAGGUAACGGCUCACCAAGGCGACGAUGCGUAGCCGACCUGAGAGGGUGAUCGGCCACACUGGGACUGAGACACGGCCCAGACUCCUACGGGAGGCAGCAGUAGGGAAUUUUCCGCAAUGGGCGAAAGCCUGACGGAGCAACGCCGCGUGAGUGAGGACGGCCUUCGGGUUGUAAAACUCUGUUCUUGAGGAAGAAUUCCUUCCAGGCGAACAGCCUGGAAGGUUGACGGUACUCAAGGAGAAAGCCCCGGCUAACUACGUGCCAGCAGCCGCGGUAAUACGUAGGGGGCGAGCGUUAUCCGGAAUUAUUGGGCGUAAAGCGCGCGCAGGCGGCUGAUUAAGUCAGGUGUGAAAGGCUGCGGCUCAACCGCAGAGCGGCACCUGAAACUGGUCAGCUUGAGUGCAGGAGAGGGGAGCGGAAUUCCCGGUGUAGCGGUGGAAUGCGUAGAGAUCGGGAGGAACACCAGUGGCGAAGGCGGCUCUCUGGCCUGUAACUGACGCUGAGGCGCGAAAGCGUGGGGAGCAAACAGGAUUAGAUACCCUGGUAGUCCACGCCGUAAACGAUGAGUGCUAGGUGUUGGGGGGGCUACGCCCCUCAGUGCCGAAGGUAACCCCAUUAAGCACUCCGCCUGGGGAGUACGGCCGCAAGGCUGAAACUCAAAGGAAUUGACGGGGGCCCGCACAAGCGUGUGGAGCCAUGUGGUUUAAUUCGAAGCAACGCGAAGAACCUUACCAGGGCUUGACAUCCCGCUGACCCCUCCGGAGAUGGAGGUUUCCCUCGGGACAGCGGUGACAGGUGGUGCAUG
rnacentral:rRNA from 1 species